CCCCCCCAAGCCUGCCUUUCAAAAUAUGAAGCUGAUAAUGUAUUACCUUAAGGCCAUCGGUUACAAUAAUAGUCAAGAUAACAGUCAUUGCGAAUUCUUUUCUUUUUAAAUUAAACCAAAUGGUUACAUUCUAUUGUCUUGGGCAUUGACCACUCCAGUUAUUGCUAAAACCAAUGCAAUUUUGUAGGAUCAUCUUAAACAGCUGAUGAUAAUGACAAAGGCAAUAAAUUCACCACGCAGAUCACGUUGUCCAUUGAUUGGUCAAACAGCUUUCUCUCUCUUUCUCUCUCGGUUGUUCACAAAAAAAAUCUUUCUUCUCAGACACACGCAUACACACACACAGCUGCACACAUAAUACAAAAAAAAAAUAAAAAU